rnacentral:lncRNA from 1 species
GUUUUUGUCUGUUUAUUCUAGUACUUUAAGCUAUAUGUCAAUUAUACUUGGUGUAUGAAAUGAUUGCAAGGUGUACAGGUAUCAUCUGACCUUGACAUCAUUUUCAUAGUUCAUUAGUCGAUAUCUACUUGUGUUGUGGUCUGUUUCUCAAUUAUCAUAGGCAAUUGGUCAACUUUAUUUGGUGUAUGAAUAUUUGUUAGGUGUACAUGUCUAUUUGAAAGGAUUUAUCUGACAAUGAACAAAUUGUCAUGGAUCUUUAAAGAUGUUUUAUGUCAUUUUUGGGGUUCACCUUUAUCUCAAAGACUAUCAACAGCAGGCAAGACAUUACAGCAUGUGCUCUCAUGUUUUGGUUUAGUC